UACAGAGGGUGCAAGCGUUAAUCGGAAUUACUGGGCGUAAAGCGUGCGUAGGUGGUCCGGUAAGUCAGAUGUGAAAUCCCGAGGCUCAACCUCGGAACUGCGUCUGAAACUACUCGACUAGAGUAUUGGAGAGGGUAACGGAAUUCACGGUGUAGCAGUGAAAUGCGUAGAUAUCGUGAGGAACACCAGAGGCGAAGGCGGUUACCUGGACAAUUACUGACGCUCAGGCACGAAAGCGUGGGGAGCAAAAGGG
rnacentral:rRNA from 1 species